rnacentral:lncRNA from 1 species
CGGCCGUAUGUCUUGGACACUCGGGUAAAGAGAGGGGCGGAGCCGUCAACUGAUCACCACCUGGUGGUGAGUUGGAUCCGAUGGCGGGGGAGGAAGCUGGACAGACUUGGCAGACCCAAGCGUACUGUAAGGGUCUGCUGGGAACGUCUGGCCGAGUCUCCUGUCAGAGAGAUCUUUAACUCCCACCUCCGGCAGAGCUUCGACUGGAUCCCGAGGGAGGCUGGAGAUAUUGAGUCCAAGUGGACCAUGUUCUCCACCUCCAUUGUCGAAGCGGCCGCUCGGAGCUGUGGCCGUAAGGUCUCCGGUGCCUGUCGAGGCGGCAAUCCCCAAACCCGGUGGUGGACACCGGAAGUAAGGGAUGCCGUCAAGCUGAAGAAGGAGUCCUAUCAGGCCUGGUUGGCUUGUGGGACUCCUGAGGCAGUUGACGGGUACCGGCAGGCCAAGCGGACUGCAGCCCGGGUGGUUGUGGAGGCAAAAACUCGGGCCUGGGAGGAGUUCGGUGAGGCCAUGGAGAAGGACUAUUGGCUGGCCUCGAAGAGAUUCUGGCAAACCGUCCGGCGCCUCAUGAGAGGGAACAGUGCCCUACCUACGCUGUUUACAGUCGUCGGGCGGUGGAAGGAGUACUUCAAGGAUCUCCUCAAUCCCGCCAUCACAUCUUCCAUUGAGGAAGCAGAGGCUGAGGGCUCAGAGGUGGACUCGUCCAUCACCCGGGCUGAAGUCACUGAGGUAGUCAAGAAACUCCACAGUGGUAAGGCAUCGGGGGUGGAUGAGAUCCGCCCUGAGUACCUCAAGUCUCUGGAUGUUGUAGGGCUGUCUUGGUUGACACGCCUGUGCAACAUCGCGUGGCGGUCGGGGACAGUGCCUCUGGGAUGGCAGACCGGGUGGUGGUCCCUCUUUUUAAGAAGGGGGACCGGAGGGUGUGUUCCAACUAUAGGGGGAUCACACUUCUCAGCCUCCCCGGGAAAGUCUAUGCCAGGGUACUGGAGAGGAGAAUACGGCCGAUAGUAGAACCUCGGAUUCAGGAAGAACAGUGUGG